UGCUGUAUCACAUGUUCCUGAGAGCGUCACAAAUAAAAAUAAUAAGUAGAGGAAUAAAGUAAUAAACCUUUUUCUUGAAAAAAUAAUAACAGUUAGCAGACGUUAUAGGAUACCAACUCUUGCUAUCAGUGCUAUUAGACAAUUAUAUCCAUAACCAAAGUGCACAUUUUCCACACUAAAGUACCCAAACCAAAUCCUAGUUUCAUCUACAUAAAAGAUAAACUGAAACUCUUGUAAGAUACCAACAUCUGAUGGAUUAGUUGGUUAACAGGCCUGAUGUUUUCUCACAACAUCAGGCUAACGCACAUACAGCUUACAAACUUCAGCAUUAACCAGAGGUUGGGUUGGUUACCCACCGAUAAAGUCUGCAAACAGACCUAGAAUUUGCGAAGUGCUACCAUUACCAAUCGGUGAAAUGUAGAUUCUCUUACUAACAGAUACCACUGAGAGUCCCAUGCUAAGAAAAUAAAUUCUCAAGACUCAAAAAAUCAGAGAAUUGCUUUUUCAUUUGCAAGUGUGAGCUUUAAGAGACAGUAAGCGAAUAAUAUAAUUAUUAAAGUAGGAAGGAAUUUCGUUCUUAAAAUCAAUCGCUCAAAGUAUCUAUUAUGCAAUGGAUAAAUCACAUGCUCUCCACAACAAUGAGAAAGAAAGUUCUCAAGACAAAGAAUGUCAUGAACACCACAAGAAUUUAUUACUCGCAAUGAAUUCCAAAUAUCAAGGCCGA
rnacentral:misc_RNA from 1 species